AUCUUUUAGAAGGUUUUCGUGGUGUUUUUUUUUUUUUUUUUUUUGAGUUAACGAACCCAAGCGUAGCCGUAACGCCAAGAAAAGUAACAAUGCUAAUCUGUCCUCAAACGCGUCAUUCCGGUAGUACAUUUUCGUUAGCUUAUUAGCGUCAUGGGCGAAAGCGCUACCAUGUUUCCCUCGAGUCCGUGUAAACAAGAGACUUCGCUGAUAUGUUAUCUUCUUCUUACCGUGUGCCUCGUGUCAUUACCGGUUACCGGAGCCAAGCAGGACAGCCUCCGGAUUGUCACUGACAGCAACUGGGAGGACAUCCUGACUGGAGAGUGGAUGAUUGAAUUCUAUGCGCCUUGGUGUCCAGCCUGCCAGCAGCUACAACCGGUGUGGCAAGAGUUUGCUGACUGGGGGGAGGACAUGGAGGUCAACAUAGCAAAGGUGGAUGUGACAGAGCAACCAGGGCUAAGCGGGAGAUUUGUCAUUACUUCACUGCCGACCAUUUACCAUUGCAAAGAUGGCGUUUUCCGCAAGUACCAGGGAGCGCGCACCAAAGAAGAGUUCCUCAGCUUCGUGGGUGACAAAAAAUGGGCUACGGUGGAGCCGGUCUCCUCAUGGUUCGCGCCUUCAUCUUUUCUAAUGAACUCCAUGUCAGCUCUAUUCAAACUUUCUAUGUUCAUACGACGUUGCCAUAACUACAUGACGGAUAAAAUGGGCCUCCCCGUGUGGGGCUCGUACGUCAUCUUCGGCUUGGUCACGCUUUUCUCCGGUCUUGCGCUCGGACUGCUACUGGUGUUCAUCGCUGAUUUUGUCUUCCCGUCGCGGCGUUUGUCCUCGCCGGACUAUUACCAGAAGAAACAAACGGCAGAGCAGGCCUGGCUGCUUCAACAGCAGCAGGAGGAAGAAGAACACGAGGCCGAUGGCGAGGAGGAGGACGACGAUGAAGAGGACGAGGAGGACGUGGACGAGGCGUGGAGGACGCAGCGGCGGCCACGCAGGGCCUCCCCCGAGGGCCAGCCCGAGCCCAAAGGACAGGCGGUAAGGAAGAGGGCGAUGCCUGGACGCAAAGGAGACAACGAUGACGAAGAAGAAGAAGACACUUAGACACACGUUGUAGGACGUCACGUCAUCUUAUGUCGAGUGGGUGGAAUCAACACGAGAAGAGCCGCCACUUGGGGCGCCAUUGCGGCUCAACCUGGGAACAAAACUUGAGAAUUGCACAAAGAAAAUGCCAUUUCCUGUUCUGUGACGACCAUGGCAAACCAGGGUUUCCCUCAGAAACUUGCAAAAGCCUGGUGGUAGGGAAGCCCACUAAUGGCUCAUAAAUGUGGAGUUGACAGGAAUUUGGAAACGAUGACUAUUAUGAGGUAUCCUAAGCCACCUCUCAGCAAUACUUAAGCGCAGUGUCUUACAAAUAGGCAGUCUUGAAAAUGAAAUACUGUUUUACCAAACAACACUGCUGGCCAAAAGUAUUGGCACCCCAGCAGUUAUGUCAGAUAAUGCUCAAUUCCUCCCAGAAAAUGAUUGCAAUUACAAAUGCUUUGGUAGUAAUAUCUUCAUUUAUUUUGCUUGCAAUAAAAAACACAAAAGAGAAUGAAAAAUUAAAUCAUUAUCAUUUUACACAAAACUCCCAAAAUGGGCCGGACAAAAGUAUUGGCACCCUCAGCCUAAUACUUGGUAGCACAACCUUUAGACAAAAUGACUGCGAACAACCGCUUCCGGUAUCCAUCAAUGAGUUUCUUACAAUGCUCUGCUGAAAUUUUAGACCAUUCUUCAUCGGGCAACUUCUCCAGAUCUCAGAGAUUUUAAGGGUGCCAUCUCCAAAAUGCCAUUUUCAGAUCUCUCCACUGGUGUUCUAUCAGAUUCAGAUCUGGACUCAUUUCUGGCCACUUUAGAAGUAUCCAGUGCUUUCUCUCAAACCAUUUUCUAGUGCUUUUUGAAGUGUGUUUUGGGUCAUUGUCCUGCUGGAAGACCCAUGACCUCUACAGGAAGACCCAGCUUUCUCACACUGCAAAAUUUAUUGGUAGUCUUCAGACUUCAUAAUGUCAUGCACACGGUCAAGCGGUCCAGUGCCAGAGGUAGCAAAGCAACCCCAAAACAUCAGGGAACCUCUGCCAUGUUUGACUAUGGGGACUAGAGCUGGGAAUCUUUGGCCACCUAACGAUUCGAUUGCGAUUCAAAGGCUCCGAUUCGAUUAUAAAACAAUUAUUGAUGCACCCCCCUCCUUUUUUUGUUUUUUUGUGUGUGUGUGUUUUUUUUUUUUUUUUUAAUGUUUUGUACAUUAGUUCCAAAAUUGUUCAAAAAUACUCUCAGGCUACACCAAACUACUAUUUCAGUAUCAAGUUAACAUAUAGCGGUAAAUAAAUAUACAAAAAUAACAGUAAAUGAAAAACUCCAGUCUCCAUUCUGUAUCAGCAGCUUUCAACUACAUUCAAUUAAUUUAAUGUUGUGAAUCAACCGUUAAAGUUGUUAAAAUUGCUCCCGUUAUUCCAUAAUUUCCCUUUUGUCUACUUUCGACAUGUGAAAGUUUUAAAACUAUUUUAAAGAUAGAUUCAAAUCAAUAUUUUACCGAUUUAGGAGUAUUUUAGAUAAAAAGUGAAUUAGGUUUGCUUGGAAGGUUCGCUACAACAGCCUUGCAGGGAAGUGUACUGCUUUAAGAUGGCGGCCGUUUACUAACGCCCGCAUCUAGCUUUUUGUAGCUGUGCUGCUAACGCUACCGAAUCUAUAAUGCAUCUAGUCCUAUAUAAAUGAUAUCUACCAUAACAUGUGGAUGUACUUUGUAGCAGCUUUUCGGCAGCAGUCAGGUAUGUUGUUGUGUUUUUUUAUCUCGUGGCAUGAGUUGAGCUAGAGCCAUGAGUUGAGCAUUGGCAUUGCCCGAGGGGCCGGGUAAUGAGAAGCAUGAUAUUUAGCUACUCUCGCUCCGUUCCUCAUUCCGAAGACCGCGCAGCGUGCGGAGUGUGUCGUACUUCCGCUUUACUUGGCAUAUUUCAAUAAUCGGAAUUUGGAUGUUUGUGAAUCGUUCUCGAAUCUUCCACGGCCGAAUCGCGAAUAAUCUAAGAAUCGGAAAUUUUGCACACCUCUAAUGGGGACAGUGUUCUUUUCUUUGAAGGCAUUGUUUUUUCCCUGUUGGACUGUGGGACAGCUUGAACUUGUUUGGAUGUUAGUCGUGGUUCUUUAUCCACCAUCAGUACAAUCUUUCGUUGAAAUCUCUCGUCAAUUUUCUUUUCCGUCCACAUCUAGGGAGGUUAGCCACAGUGCCAUUGGCUUUACACUUAUUGAUGACAAUGCGCAAGGUAGACACAGGAACAUUCAGCUCUUUGGACUUGUAGCCUUGAGAUCGCCCAUGCUUCCUCACAAUUUUGCUUCUCAAGUCCUUAGACAGUUUUUUGGUCUUCUUUCUUUUCUCCAUGCUCAAUGUGGUACACACAAGGACACAGGACAGAGGUUAAGUCAACUUUAAUCCAUUUUAACUGGCCGCAAGUGUGAUUUAGAUAUUGCCACCACCUGCUAUGUGCCACAGGUAAGUAACAGGUGCGGUUAAUUACACAAAUUAAAGAAGCAUCACAUGAUUUUUCAAAGGGUGCCAAUACUUUUGUCUGGCCCAUUUUUACAGUUUUGUGUAAAAUGAUAAUGAUGUAUUUAUUUUCCCAUUUUCUUUUGUGUUUUUUCAUUGCAAGCAAAAUAAAUAAAGAUAUUACUACCAAAGCAUUUGUAAUUGUAAUCAUUUUCUAGGAGAAAUUGCAUUAUAUGACAGAAUUGCAGAGGUGCCAAAACUUUUGGCCAGCACUGUACAUGACAAUGCAAUUUAAUGCAAUGGCAGAGUACAUGUCUGGUCACAUACAGCCAUAAGAUCUCGCCAUUGCGCUUGUACUCCUAUCACCAGAUAGUGUUUACCGUAAAAUCUGUAUACUUUUUUUUUUUUUUUUUGUAGCACUGUUUUAGCCUGGCCAGGAAAAGCCUGAUGGCCCGCCAGUCUUAUAAAGCACUGUGGGAAACCCUGCAACCAUAUAUUAUAUACCACUUUGGAGGUUCCACCUUACUAUUGUUUUAUGUUGGUUUUAGUGCAGAAAUUUUUUUUUUUGAACUUUUAUCAUUUUCACUACCAUGCUGUUGACAAAGAAGUAGAAACGGUUUAAUUAAAAAAAAAUGUCAUCCAUUGAUAUGUAUUGUUUUAAGAUAUCUAUGAUUAAUCUCUGUCAAACCAAAUUGGAACAGCAGAGUGCGUGUUUAUAGAAUUAUUUGAAUUUCUCAUUUUCUUGUUUUAUGGCUAAAAACAUUUUUAAUGGACAAAAUAAGGGUGGUGGUUAUUAUUAUUUUAUUUUUUUUAACUCAUUGGACACACCACUAUUUAAAGACUGUAGCAUUCGCCACCUGUUUGUUUGGAAUUUUCUUUGAAUAAAACGGAAUUAUCUUUGAAUCCAAGCUCGUUUUGAACAUGCGUUUGUUUUCGCACGCAGGUUGUCUGAAUUCUAUUGCUUGUAUUGAGCUGCGGUAAUUUCUUACCAGUAGAUGUCACUCUAAUGAUGGACAAUAUUUUUCCCCUGUCAGCGCGACGAGUUUUUAUUAAUCUAAUUGUUUUCAUGAAUUUUUAAAUAUUUUGUUCGAAUCUUGGCUGGACUGAUACUGCGUGAUUUAGGUAUUCUUUUUUAAUUAUUGAUUGUAAAUAUUCUCUUAUUCACUUGUGUGUGUGACUAUAUAGAUACAUUUUUAAAAAAG